CCAAGAUCCAACAAGGGUUUCAAACAGAUUCCAAUGUGCCAAUUUGUGUAGGCAGUUAAAAAGCUGUAGACUGGCGGUGUACAGUUACCAAGAACGUACAUGUUUGGUCAAACAUUCAACGGAACGUGUGACUCCAGAUGCCCAGGACUUGUACUCGGUGGCUGCUGCAGCACGAAGCAUCUGCCGGGAAUGUGCCGAUGAUGAAACAUGUAUCCCGGUAACUGAGGCCCGGACAUCCCUUUGUAUUUCCACAGAUUCCUUACAAGAAACCGUGUCAUCCACAACAAUGACUGUUUCAAUGGCAAAUUCAACGACAACAUCCCCUGCCUCAUCAGUAGCUACACUGGAUAUUACGA